AUACUCUGGUUUCUCUUCAAAUCGAAUAAAUCUUUCGCCUUUUACUAAAGAUUUUCCGUGGAGAGGAACGACCAUGAGUUUCGUUCAAUUUUUUGAAGCCUGGUUCACACCAGGCU